AACUUUCAACAACGGAUCUCUUGGUUCUGGCAUCGAUGAAAAACGCAGCGAAAUGCGAUACGUAGUGUGAAUUGCAAAAUUCAGUGAAUCAUCGAAUCUUUGAACGCACAUUGCGCCCUUUGGUAUUCCAAAGGGCAU
rnacentral:rRNA from 1 species